rnacentral:miRNA from 1 species
UAGCACCAUGAAAAAGCAGUCU